ACGGAGGGUGCGAGCGUUAAUCGGAAUUACUGGGCGUAAAGAGUGCGCAGGCGGGUCGGUAAGACAGGAGUGAAAUCCCCGGGCUUGACCUGGGAAUGGCGCUUGUGACUGGCGGGCUGGAGUACGGCAGAGGGGGGUGGAAUUUCACGUGUAGAAGUGAAAUGCGUAGAGAUGUGGAGGAACACCGAUGGCGAAGGCAGCCCCCUGGGCCGAUACUGACGCUCAUGCACGAAAGCGUGGGGAGCAAACAG
rnacentral:rRNA from 1 species